rnacentral:rRNA from 1 species
AUUGAACGCUGGCGGCAGGCCUAACACAUGCAAGUCGAGCGGAUGAAGGGAGCUUGCUCCUGGAUUCAGCGGCGGACGGGUGAGUAAUGCCUAGGAAUCUGCCUGGUAGUGGGGGAUAACGUCCGGAAACGGGCGCUAAUACCGCAUACGUCCUGAGGGAGAAAGUGGGGGAUCUUCGGACCUCACGCUAUCAGAUGAGCCUAGGUCGGAUUAGCUAGUUGGUGGGGUAAAGGCCUACCAAGGCGACGAUCCGUAACUGGUCUGAGAGGAUGAUCAGUCACACUGGAACUGAGACACGGUCCAGACUCCUACGGGAGGCAGCAGUGGGGAAUAUUGGACAAUGGGCGAAAGCCUGAUCCAGCCAUGCCGCGUGUGUGAAGAAGGUCUUCGGAGUGUAAAGAACUUUAAGUGGGGAGGAAGGGCAGUAAGUUAAUACCUUGCUGUUUUGACGUUACCAACAGAAUAAGCACCGGCUAACUUCGUG